GACGAACGCUGGCGGCGUGCUUAACACAUGCAAGUCGAACGGAAAGGCCCUGCUUUUGUGGGGUGCUCGAGUGGCGAACGGGUGAGUAACACGUGAGUAACCUGCCCUUGACUUUGGGAUAACUUCAGGAAACUGGGGCUAAUACCGGAUAGGAGCUCCUGCUGCAUGGUGGGGGUUGGAAAGUGUCGGCGGUUGGGGAUGGACUCGCGGCUUAUCAGCUUGUUGGUGGGGUAGUGGCUUACCAAGGCUUUGACGGGUAGCCGGCCUGAGAGGGUGACCGGCCACAGUGAGACUGAGAUACGGCCCAGACUCCUACGGGAGGCAGCAGUGGGGAAUAUUGCACAAUGGGCGGAAGCCUGAGGCAGCAACGCCGCGUGCGGGAUGACGGCCUGCGGGUUGUAAACCGCUUUCGCCUGUGACGAAGCGUGAGUGACGGUAAUGGGUAAAGAGGCACCGGCUAACUACGUG
rnacentral:rRNA from 1 species